AGAUUACCCCGCCGCGUUGUUCGGAAUCGAUGGUUGGAGGGUAUGCCCAAGUCUCGAACCGUAGAUGGUGUGGAAGAGGAGUACGACUCCUACGACGACGAUGAUGACCACGAGGACGAGGAAAUUGCCGAUAUUGCACUUCUAGCUCCUCAAAAUGAAUUGUUGGUUGACCGGUAUGGUAGACCCAUCAUCAUGCCAUAUACCGCCACAGAUUUGCAACCCCAAAAUCCGGCGAAUAAGGCAAUCAAUAAUGCAUUGAAAUCCAAAUUCCAGGCUCCAUAUCUCAACUAGACGGAGGUCAGGGCAGAUGAGCGUGGAUAUCAACAAUUUUGGAAUGGCUUCAGGUCGCAAGUAACUUGGCUAAAUCACCACACAGCGGCUAUUGAGGCUAUAUUCAACAGAAAAGCCACCAAGCGUCUGUCAACCUUACUUUUUGAAGCGCGGAAAAAGAUUAAAAAGGAUCCUUCAAAGCCACCACUUUGGCUCGCUGGUAACUCAUACCCUAUGUUGUGCCUCAGAUGGGAAGAGGAAGAGUAUAAGGCAAAGUGUAUAAAGAACAAAGCCAACAGAAAUACCGAUGAAGCCAAUCGUGCGUGCGUACACUCUGGAGGGUCGAAAUCUGCCGGAACGCUUCGUCUUGAGUUCAUUCAACAAUUUGGUCGUCCACCCACCUUUAUGGAAAUGAAUGACAUGAUGCACAAGUAUGCAGAUUCCGGUGAAUGGACGGGGGCAAGGGCGCAAGAAGUUUCGAGGUUGACGCAAAUUUGGGCUGAAGAAUAUAAUGCAAGCCAACUACGACUACCACCUCAUAGGCGAGAUAAUGAGGAGGUUCGUCGAAACAAGAUGUC